rnacentral:rRNA from 1 species
UACGGAGGAUGCAAGCGUUAUCCGGAAUGAUUGGGCGUAAAGCGUCCGCAGGUGGCUAUGUAAGUCUGCUGUUAAAGAGUGAGGCUCAACCUCAGAAGAGCAGUGGAAACUACAUGGCUAGAGUGCGUUCGGGGCAGAGGGAAUUCCUGGUGUAGCGGUGAGAUGCGUAGAGAUCAGGAAGAACACCGGUGGCGAAAGCGCUCUGCUAGGCCGCAACUGACACUGAGGGACGAAAGCUAGGGGAGCGAAUGGG